rnacentral:rRNA from 1 species
GCGAACGCUGGCGGCAGGCCUAGCACAUGCAAGUCGAGCGGCCGUAGCAAUACGGCAGCGGCAGACGGGAGAGUAACACGUGGGAACGCGCCCUUUGGUUCGGAAUAACUCAGGGAAACUUGAGCUAAUACCGGAUAAGCCCUUACGGGGAAAGAUUUAUCGCCAAAGGAACGGCCCGCGUCCGAUUAGCUAGUUGGUGAGGUAACGGCUCACCAAGGCGACGAUCGGUAGCUGGUCUGAGAGGAUGACCAGCCUCACUGGGACUGAGACACGGCCCAGACUCCUACGGGAGGCAGCAGUGGGGAAUAUUGGACAAUGGGCGCAAGCCUGAUCCAGCCAUGCCGCGUGAGUGAUGAAGGCCUUAGGGUUGUAAAGCUCUUUUAGCAGGGAAGAUAAUGACGGUACCCAAAGAAGAAGCACCGGCUAACUACGU